rnacentral:rRNA from 1 species
UAUCAGGGGUAAACCUGAGAAACCCGAAAUGUCGAAUGGGGAAAUUCAUUCGCGUUUCGACUUUGUCGGCGUUGAGCGGUUGAGUGACGGACGGCGUGCGCGCAUUCGUGUGUGCGUCUUUCGCACCUUCCGUUUUUCGAACCGGCGUCGAACGUGUGCACUUUUCCCCUAGUAGGACGUCGCGAUCCGUUGGGUGUCGGUCUAAGACUUGCGGUGGAGCACGCUCGAACGUUUCGGCGUUCGUACGUACCCGUAAUGUUCCGGCCGACUCGCUCGACGGUAUAACGAUGGCGUGGGGCCGCUACUUACAUCAUUAGUUAGCGUUCGAUCCUCGGCAAGCGCGCUCGGUGUUUCGACGGCGAUCGGACCUAGUGCCGAUUCUGUCCCCGGGCGACUGUUGGCUGAGGUGUUCUCGAACAGACCUCUUUGAAACGCCGAUCUGCGACGCUAUAGCUUUGGGUACUUUCAGGACCCGUCUUGAAACACGGACCAAGGAGUCUAGCAUGUGCGCGAGUCAUUGGGACAUAAUUAAACCUAAAGGCGCAAUGAAAGUAAAGGUUCGUCUUGCGCGAACCGAGGGAGGAUAAGCGGUUCAGCUUUAACGAGUGGCCGUUUCGCACUCCCGGGGCGUCUCGUUCUCAUUGCGAGAAGAGGCGCACCAAGAGCGUACACGCUGGGACCCGAAAGAUGGUGAACUAUGCCUGGUCAGGACGAAGUCAGGGGAAACCCUGAUGGAGGUCCGUAGCGAUUCUGACGUGCAAAUCGAUCGUCGGAACUGGGUAUAGGGGCGAAAGACUAAUCGAACCWUC